CAAAGGGUGGACUCAAUGGCCUUGGAGGCCUUUUCCAGCCAUAAUGGUCUAUGACUCUCUGUACUCUUUUUCAAAAAUAGUAAUAGAAAAUCUGUGGCCACACCAUUACUGAAAUUGAAACCUGCCCUAUUUUCCAUUUCCUUUGUAAAGAUGUCCUGUAACCAUGCUGUAACAUAUGUUCCUAGUGUUAUUGUUUAGAAGAAAUUUGUAUUUCCUGACAUGCUCAAAUAUCAAACUAAUCUCCAAAAAUUCCAGUUAAUAGCAAUAAUUGUUCUGGUUUUGCUGUGACAUAGUUGUCUCUUGAAUUCCAGCUAAUGGCUUAGCUGAUCAAUAUUUUAUAGGGAGUGCUGCUUACCAUGCAGCUCUUACAUAAACACUGUUGGGAAGAGAGAAAUCCCUGAGCUGACAGAGCAGAAAGGCAGGAUGGCCUCCUGGGCUUGGCUAUUAAUUGAUAAAAUUACUAAAACUUCUUUCCAGCCUUUUUAUUGAUUCAUCUAAAUAUACUUUAAGUUACAUUCUUACUUCGUACAGGAUGAUAAAUUUAUUUAAUCUGCAGGAUUAAAGAAGUGCAACAGUUUCCAAGGAUUCAAAGGUGUGGUGGGAAAAGAAAAAAAGUUUUUUACCUCAUUGGCAGAGAAUUUAAGCAGAAGAGCACAAGAGUUGCCUUUGACAUCUGUUCCAUAUGAAGCCACAGAAGCUGAGUAAAUGGGUGGGGCAUUCUCACCUCCUUGCAGAGCCCAGAGGAAACAAAAGAAGAAAAUGUUGCUGAGAACACUAAAACAUAACACUUUGGCAGAGGUGAUCAUCACAUCCUCCAGGCAUUUCUACCUGUGGUGCUGCCCUGGCAGUUGUGGGGUAUUGUGGAAAUAAAGUGUGAAGUCACUCAGGACUGGUUGUGGAUGAGGCAAGUACAUAAAUGCAUUUUGUCAGAGGUGAGAGGGAAUGCUUGCUUCCACAGGGGAAGGGGAAUAGUGGUUCUGAAAACUGAAAACACAACAAAUGUCUGUUAAAAGGGGGAGCUGGGGAGCAGGACAAGGCAGC
rnacentral:lncRNA from 1 species